GUGGCGCUUGAUGGACCGCUCAACAGAUGAGCUCAUCCGGCAGCGUCUCCAAUGGCAAAGUGCUUCCAGCUUCCUCGGGCACUUAAUCAAUGGUUUGGUGUUAUGGACUGACCGCUGCAGUCCUCGCCACCCGCUCUCUCUCUCUCUCGCCUGCCGCGCACGCCCGGAAAUCCGACAUUGACCCCGAAGACACGAAUACGAAUACCGCCACAGAGUGAUUAGUGACUGAAAAUGUAAUCACCGAUACCUCGGAGAUGCCGCAGGAAAGAAAAGACCCCCCCCCACCAAAAAAAAGCCUUUUGAAUGGAGUGGAAAUGCCAGAACCGUCUCCAUUACCGCCCACACAGCCAGAAGCUGGGGAUCAUCAUAACACCUUUGCCUGGAGAAUUAAUUCAAUUUGCCGAAUGAGUCCACGCCGUUACGACUGAAAAGCAGGGGAAAAAAAGUGAAUUUGAGUGAUAUUUACAGAGAGAUUAGCAUUUGUGUUCCGCAACAUUAGGGUUGUCUCCGCCCCGCCGCCGAGGGAACGUAUCGAGUCCAUUUUACGACGGGGAAGCCGCUGGGAACAAGUGCUUUUAAAUUUUUUUAUUAUUUUAGUGUGGAGCGGUAAUGACAUUUUAAUGGCCAUUUUCCCCCUGAAGCGAACAUAUCUCUGGAAACAAAAGGAGGAAAAAAAAAAAAAGGAAAGAAAAGCCCCUGGUUGAAUGACUGGGAGCAGUCAGGCCCGUGACGUUGAAAUGAAGGGACUGGUAGGUAAGCGACAAUAAGCCCCGGCUGCUCUUUAAACACCGCCGCCCCUAAAGCGCCGCUUAGAGUCGCCCCUUAAUCUGCUUCGGCUGUCGGCUCAUGUCGAGAGGAAGAACGUCCAGAGGUUGUAGCUCGUCUUACUUUCCACUCAGGGCGUCAAUCGGCGGCGUCAAUGAGGUUCAUGCUUCAUGACGCAUGAUUUAGAGGAGGAGUUCAAUGCAACAAUCAAAGAUCUUCUAUGGUCGGGAGGAUGGGGCAACUGACGGACUCUAUCACCCCGGGACAGUUUCCCACUGGUCACUCCGCUCUUCAUACUUAAUGUUUCAUAUUUAAUUUCACAUGUCACUUUCGUACACAUUACACUUUAACAAACGCACACUUACAGUCCCCUGUUGACAGCGCUGUUAUCUGUAUGUGCACUUUUACUUUAUACCAUUGUAAAUGUCAUGUUUAAAUUCAUGCACUAUGUUGGUUUCUUAUGUCUGUCUAAUGUACACGCCAGCUACACGCCAGCUACACGCCAGCUACACGCCAGCUACACGCCAGCUACACGCCAGCUACACGCCAGCUACACGCCAGCUACACGCCAGCUACACGCCAGCUACACGUAACCCACUGAUUGGCUCAGGGAGGAAAGACUUUCAAUUGGCCAAUCCAGGACCUGAGUCCUGAUAAAUAUCCGGGUCAAGGGAGGUCACUUCCUGUUUUCGUGUGGGUGCAGACAGCGGUCAGGUUUUUGGGAUACCCACUUUGUAUCCAAGGAAGAUGGCGAGCUACCCACGAGAUGGAUGAAUAACAUGCCCACUGUGAAAAGUUUCUUUUGAUUAUACAUAUGUUUACUGGAUUUAUGUUUAUGUUCAGUAAAAAGCCUUAAACCUCAA